rnacentral:rRNA from 1 species
AGAGUUUGAUCCUGGCUCAGGAUGAACGCUGGCGGCGUGCUUAACACAUGCAAGUCGAACGAUUAACCCAAACUUCGGUUUGGUUAUAAAGUGGCGAACGGGUGAGUAACACGUGACCAACCUGCCUUCUAGAUCGGGAUAACUCAAGGAAACUUGUGCUAAUACCGGAUACUCCGGAGCAAUCGCAUGGUAGCUUCGGGAAAGCUUUUGCGCUAGAAGAUGGGGUCGCGGCCUAUUAGGUAGUUGGUGGGGUAGAGGCCUACCAAGCCUGCGAUAGGUAGCCGGGUUGAGAGACUGAUCGGCCACAUUGGGACUGAGAUACGGCCCAGACUCCUACGGGAGGCAGCAGUGGGGAAUUUUGCGCAAUGGGGGCAACCCUGACGCAGCAACGCCGCGUGCGGGAUGAAGGUCUUCGGAUUGUAAACCGCUUUCAGUAGGGAAUAAGUAUGAAGGUACCUACAGAAGAAGCACCGGCUAAAUACGUGCCAGCAGCCGCGGUAAUACGUAUGGUGCAAGCGUUAUCCGGAAUCAUUGGGCGUAAAGCGCGCGUAGGCGGCUUGUUAAGCAGGAAUUUAAAUCUUAGGGCUCAACCUUAAGUCGGUUCCUGAACUGGCAGGCUCGAGUGCGGUAGAGGAAGGUGGAAUUCCCAGUGUAGCGGUGAAAUGCGCAGAUAUUGGGAAGAACACCGAUGGCGAAGGCAGCCUUCUGGGCCGCCACUGACGCUGAGGCGCGAAAGCUAGGGGAGCGAACAGGAUUAGAUACCCUGGUAGUCCUAGCCGUAAACGAUGGGCACUAGGUG